AUGAAGGCAAGGGGAGAGACCGCAGGCUGCGGCGCCGAAGGAGCAAACGGCUGAGACCGUGAAUCUCUCAGGCAAAAGAACACUUGCUGGACG
rnacentral:ncRNA from 2 species